rnacentral:rRNA from 1 species
GGCGGGACACGUGGUAUCCUGUCUGAAUAUGGGGGGACCAUCCUCCAAGGCUAAAUACUCCUGACUGACCGAUAGUGAACCAGUACCGUGAGGGAAAGGCGAAAAGAACCCCGGCGAGGGGAGUGAAAAAGAACCUGAAACCGUGUACGUACAAGCAGUGGGAGCACCCUUUGGGGUGUGACUGCGUACCUUUUGUAUAAUGGGUCAGCGACUUAUAUUCUGUAGCAAGGUUAACCGAAUAGGGGAGCCGGAGGGAAACCGAGUCUUAAUUGGGCGUUAAGUUGCAGGGUAUAGACCCGAAACCCGGUGAUCUAGCCAUGGGCAGGUUGAAGGUUGGGUAACACUAACUGGAGGACCGAACCGACUAAUGUUGAAAAAUUAGCGGAUGACCUGUGGCUGGGGGUGAAAGGCCAAUCAAACCGGGAGAUAGCUGGUUCUCCCCGAAAGCUAUUUAGGUAGCGCCUCGUGAAUUCAUCUCCGGGGGUAGAGCACUGUUUCGGCUAGGGGGCCAUCCCGGCUUACCAACCCGAUGCAAACUGCGAAUACCGGAGAAUGUUAUCACGGGAGACACACGGCGGGUGCUAACGUCCGUCGUGAAGAGGGAAACAACCCAGACCGCCAGCUAAGGUCCCAAAGUCAUGGUUAAGUGGGAAACGAUGUGGGAAGGCCCAGACAGCCAGGAUGUUGGCUUAGAAGCAGCCAUCAUUUAAAGAAAGCGUAAUAGCUCACUGGUCGAGUCGGCCUGCGCGGAAGAUGUAACGGGGCUAAACCAUGCACCGAAGCUGCGGCAGCGACGCUGAUGCGUUGUUGGGUAGGGGAGCGUUCUGUAAGCCUGUGAAGGUGGCCUGUGAGGGUUGCUGGAGGUAUCAGAAGUGCGAAUGCUGACAUAAGUAACGAUAAAGCGGGUGAAAAGCCCGCUCGCCGGAAGACCAAGGGUUCCUGUCCAACGUUAAUCGGGGCAGGGUGAGUCGACCCCUAAGGCGAGGCCGAAAGGCGUAGUCGAUGGGAAACGGGUUAAUAUUCCCGUACUUGGUGUUACUGCGAAGGGGGGACGGAGAAGGCUAUGUUGGCCGGGCGACGGUUGUCCCGGUUUAAGCGUGUAGGUGUGUGUUCCAGGUAAAUCCGGUUCACUUUAACACUGAGGCGUGAUGACGAGGCACUACGGUGCUGAAGCAACAAAUGCCCUGCUUCCAGGAAAAGCCUCUAAGCAUCAGGUAACAUCAAAUCGUACCCCAAACCGACACAGGUGGUCAGGUAGAGAAUACCAAGGCGCUUGAGAGAACUCGGGUGAAGGAACUAGGCAAAAUGGUGCCGUAACUUCGGGAGAAGGCACGCUGACACGUAGGUGAAGUGAUUUACUCAUGGAGCUGAAGUCAGUCGAAGAUACCAGCUGGCUGCAACUGUUUAUUAAAAACACAGCACUGUGCAAACACGAAAGUGGACGUAUACGGUGUGACGCCUGCCCGGUGCCGGAAGGUUAAUUGAUGGGGUCAGCGCAAGCGAAGCUCCUGAUCGAAGCCCCGGUAAACGGCGGCCGUAACUAUAACGGUCCUAAGGUAGCGAAAUUCCUUGUCGGGUAAGUUCCGACCUGCACGAAUGGCGUAAUGAUGGCCAGGCUGUCUCCACCCGAGACUCAGUGAAAUUGAACUCGCUGUGAAGAUGCAGUGUACCCGCGGCAAGACGGAAAGACCCCGUGAACCUUUACUAUAGCUUGACACUGAACAUUGAGCCUUGAUGUGUAGGAUAGGUGGGAGGCUUUGAAGUGUGGACGCCAGUCUGCAUGGAGCCGGCCUUGAAAUACCACCCUUUAAUGUUUGAUGUUCUAACGUGGACCCGUGAUCCGGGUUGCGGACAGUGUCUGGUGGGUAGUUUGACUGGGGCGGUCUCCUCCUAAAGAGUAACGGAGGAGCACGAAGGUUGGCUAAUCCUGGUCGGACAUCAGGAGGUUAGUGCAAUGGCAUAAGCCAGCUUGACUGCGAGCGUGACGGCGCGAGCAGGUGCGAAAGCAGGUCAUAGUGAUCCGGUGGUUCUGAAUGGAAGGGCCAUCGCUCAACGGAUAAAAGGUACUCCGGGGAUAACAGGCUGAUACCGCCCAAGAGUUCAUAUCGACGGCGGUGUUUGGCACCUCGAUGUCGGCUCAUCACAUCCUGGGGCUGAAGUAGGUCCCAAGGGUAUGGCUGUUCGCCAUUUAAAGUGGUACGCGAGCUGGGUUUAGAACGUCGUGAGACAGUUCGGUCCCUAUCUGCCGUGGGCGCUGGAGAACUGAGGGGGGCUGCUCCUAGUACGAGAGGACCGGAGUGGACGCAUCACUGGUGUUCGGGUUGUCAUGCCAAUGGCACUGCCCGGUAGCUAAAUGCGGAAGAGAUAAGUGCUGAAAGCAUCUAAGCACGAAACUUGCCCCGA